rnacentral:rRNA from 1 species
UACGUAGGGUGCAAGCGUUAAUCGGAAUUACUGGGCGUAAAGCGUGCGCAGGCGGUGAUGUAAGACAGGUGUGAAAUCCCCGGGCUUAACCUGGGAACUGCAUUUGUGACUGCAUCGCUGGAGUGCGGCAGAGGGGGGUGGAAUUCCGCGUGUAGCAGUGAAAUGCGUAGAGAUGCGGAGGAACACCGAUGGCGAAGGCAGCCCCCUGGGCCAACACUGACGCUCAGGCACGAAAGCGUGGGGAGCAAACAGG